rnacentral:ncRNA from 2 species
AGUUUUGCGCCGAAAUUAGGUUUCAUUCGUUUCACCGAAUGGAUUAAAAGGGAAUCUGGUGAGAAUCCAGAGCUGUUCCCGCAACUGUAAGCUAUAAGGCUUGUUAUUACCUUCAAUGUCACUGGAAUUUUAUUCUGGGAAGACCAAUAACAAGACGCAAGUCAGGAGACCUGCCAAUUUCAACAUAGAAGU